rnacentral:rRNA from 1 species
GAUGAACGCUAGCGGCAGGCUUAAUACAUGCAAGUCGUGGGGCAGCAGGUCUGUAGCAAUACAGAUGCUGGCGACCGGCAAACGGGUGCGGAACACGUACACAACUUUCCUUUAAGUGGGGAAUAGCCCAGAGAAAUUUGGAUUAAUACCCCGUAACAUAGUGAAAAGGCAUCUUUUUAUUAUUAUAGCAGCAAUGCGCUUAAUGAUGGGUGUGCGUCUGAUUAGGUAGUUGGCGGAGUAAUAGCCCACCAAGCCUACGAUCAGUAACUGGUGUGAGAGCACGACCAGUCACACGGGCACUGAGACACGGGCCCGACUCCUACGGGAGGCAGCAGUAAGGAAUAUUGGGCAAUGGACGCAAGUCUGACCCAGCCAUGCCGCGUGGAGGAUGAAGGUCCUCUGGAUUGUAAACUUCUUUUAUCUGGGAAGAAAUCCAUCUUUUCUUGGGUGGUUGACGGUACCAGAUGAAUAAGCACCGGCUAACUCCGUGCCAGCAGCCGCGGUAA